UACAGAGGUCUCAAGCGUUGUUCGGAUUCAUUGGGCGUAAAGGGCGCGUAGGCUGCGGGGCAAGUCGGGUGUGAAAUCUCAGAGCUCAACUCUGAAACUGCACUCGAUACUGCUUUGCUCGAGGACUGGAGAGGAGAUUGGAAUUCACGGUGUAGCAGUGAAAUGCGUAGAUAUCGUGAGGAAGACCAGUGGCGAAGGCGGAUCUCUGGACAGUUCCUGACGCUGAGGCGCGAAGGCCAGGGGGAGCAAAACGGGG
rnacentral:rRNA from 1 species